ACGACCUUACUUGAACAGGAUCUGUUCUAUAGGAUCGUACCUCUGUGUCCUUUAACACUAAGGAGACAGGAACCUAAGUCUGGUUGAGGAAUCAUGACCGUGUGAUCAUAGCGUGAGUAAUGGCUUGAUAAUCCCUGUGAUCAUCAUGGCUGUAGAGGAUCGUUCUCCAACCAUAGAUUUGGAUGGGGAUGGUCAUGCGGUUGUCUGACAGACU